rnacentral:rRNA from 1 species
AUGAACGCUGGCGGCGUGCCUAAUACAUGCCAGUCGAGCGAACAGACGAGGAGCUUGCUCCUCUGACGUUAGCGGCGGACGGGUGAGUAACACGUGGAUAACCUACCUAUAAGACUGGGAUAACUUCGGGAAACCGGAGCUAAUACCGGAUAAUAUAUUGAACCGCAUGGUUCCAUAGUGAAAGACGGUUUUGCUGUCACUUAUAGAUGGAUCCGCGCCGCAUUAGCUAGUUGGUAAGGUAACGGCUUACCAAGGCAACGAUGCGUAGCCGACCUGAGAGGGUGAUCGGCCACACUGGAACUGAGACACGGUCCAGACUCCUACGGGAGGCAGCAGUAGGGAAUCUUCCGCAAUGGGCGAAAGCUUGACGGAGCAACGCCGCGUGAGUGAUGAAGGUCUUCGGAUCGUAAAACUCUGUUAUUAGGGAAGAACAAAUGUGUAAGUAACUAUGCACGUCUUGACGGUACCUAAUCAGAAAGCCACGGCUAACUACGUG